rnacentral:rRNA from 1 species
AACGAACGCUGGCGGCAUGCCUAACACAUGCAAGUCGAACGAGACCUUCGGGUCUAGUGGCGCACGGGUGCGUAACGCGUGGGAAUCUGCCCUUGGGUUCGGAAUAACAGUUGGAAACGACUGCUAAUACCGGAUGAUGACGUAAGUCCAAAGAUUUAUCGCCCAAGGAUGAGCCCGCGUAGGAUUAGCUAGUUGGUGAGGUAAAGGCUCACCAAGGCGACGAUCCUUAGCUGGUCUGAGAGGAUGAUCAGCCACACUGGGACUGAGACACGGCCCAGACUCCUACGGGAGGCAGCAGUGGGGAAUAUUGGACAAUGGGCGAAAGCCUGAUACAGCAAUGCCGCGUGAGUGAUGAAGGCCUUAGGGUUGUAAAGCUCUUUUACCCGGGAUGAUAAUGACAGUACCGGGAGAAUAAGCGCCGGCUAACUCCGUG